UCCAGGUACAACGUCGACUAAAUCUAUCUCUGCAAAUAUUGCCAAUGUUAAAUUUGAUAUUAACAGAGAUGGCCAACAGGAGAUUGAUGUUACAAUAUCUAAAAGUAACUUUAUAUGCGACAAUGUUUGAAGGAGGAAAAAAUACAAAUACAGCAAAGACAGCUGAAAAUACAGCUUCGUCGAUCUCAGAAAAUAGAAAUAAAUUUCGAAGAAUUGAAGGUGAUGAUGCAAAGGCUGAUGUAAAGCAAGAUUCAGAGAAUCUGAAGAAAGACUCAAUGCCAGAAUUUCCAGCGAUUAAGACUUCUAGUACAAUAGUAGAUACAUUACAUAUUUCCAACGCUUUUAAUGCUCUAACAUUGUCAAAUAAUAAAUACGUAAAAACUGCACAAACACUUGAACCAGUUUCACGUGCAUGCCAAGAAGAAUGGACCGAUAAAUGGAAUAACCUUGAAUUUCCAGCUCCCAAAUCGUCAAUUUUAACACCAGUUACUUUUAGUUUAUCUAAAAAACAAUAUUCAUUUGGUGACACAAGUACGAGUCAGUUUCUUGGUUCUCCAACGUCAGAAAGUAAAGAGUCAGCGCGUGAUAACGCAGAGAGUAGAUCUACGCCUUUCUGUUGGAAAGCAACAACGACAACAACAUUAUCAAGUCCAGCAUUCCAAGUACCUACUGCAGCACAAACUUUGCAUAAAUCUGGAACAUCCAAAUCAUCAAUUUUAAAACCACCUACUUUUAAUUUAUCUAAAAAACAAUAUUCAUUUGGUGACACAAGUACGAGCCAGUUUCUUGGUUCUCCAACGUCAAAAAGUUAAGAGUCAGCGUGUGAUAACGCAGAAAGUAGAUCUACGCCUUUCUGGUGGAAAUCAACAACGACAACAACAUUAUCAAGUCCAGCAUUCCAAGUACCUAAUGCAUCACAAACUUUGCAUAAUUCUGGAACACCCGAAUCAUCGAUUUUGGUACCAACUACUUUUAGUUUAUCUAAUAAACAAUGUGAAUUUGGUGGCGCAAUUUCACGUAAAUCUUGCACUUCUCCAGUGCUAGAAAAUAAACCUGCAGCUUGCGAUUCAACACCAACAAACCAAAAAGAAACAACAUAUAAUACAACACUCGGGAUGCCAACUGUACGUGGCACAUUGUCAGUGACAUCAGUAGUAUCUGGUGAUAGUACUGUUAGAACGUCUACCGGCGAGUCAACGCCUCUUAUACGUGUACAUCAAAAAUUUAUAUUUAACGCCAUUCCUACUGAACCGGCUGUAAUGCCUGGGACUCGAUUCAAUUUUCCUACGAAUAUGAUACCUCCUGUAUCGACUCAGAUUCAAAUAUCGAUUGAUUCCACCGAUUAUACAUUUAACGGACCUAAUCCGGAACUAGCAGCAUUUCCGCAAUGUCCAACUACAAGUUCAUUUUCUACAUCGCAACCUGUUACCCAAAGUCAACAAUUGUCUACUUCAUCAUCUAUUCCUCUAGAAUGCGCGUUUAAUUUUGAUUCGUCACCAGGAGAUCAUACAGCUGAACCUGGUUCAAUCCAGUCCGAAGGAUUUAAUUUUAAUCCCAAUACUAGACCAUCGUUCCGUUUUAGUGUUUAUGAAUUUAAGUAUCUACAAAAUAUAAAAUUAUUUUACACAUUAAUAGCAGGAUCUUUUUUCCAUAAAAAAAUGUGUUGCCAUGUGUUGUUUUAGUGCACCUACUCAAGUACAACGAGAUACUGCGUCUACUCGAGUACAACGAAAUACUGCGUCUACUCUAGUACAACAAAAUACUGCCACCAUCAAUUACCGCCCAAUGAUCAGUCCCACUCGAUUACUCAAUCCACGAAAGAUCAGGAAAGCUUUUAGAAGAUUAAAAUAGGAGUCAAGUAACGGCAUUCUUUUUAUACAGUUGCUCAUGAAGGUAUUCAUAUUCUUGCAGAAGACACCUUUUAUGAAUAUACUAUAUGUCUUGAAAGAAACAUUUUGAAAUGUCAUUAGUAUUGUAACAAAAUCCGAUUGUCAUAGCUAUAUUGGUAAAGUUUUUAGCAAAUCUGAAAAUAUACAUAGAUAUUACAAAACACCUAACACAAGUAUGCAGAUAUUUUGUAGAAAUCAAUAAAGUAUUUAAACAGUCAUUUAACAUUUCAUCAAACAUUUUCCAUAUGUAUGAAAUAAGCCUAAAUAUUUACUGGAACCACUUUUGAGAUUUUUUCUAGGCAUACCAAGGAGGCUAUUAAUGCUGUGUGCUAAUCUUUAUUAAAUAUAUGUUUGUAAAUAACUUU